rnacentral:piRNA from 1 species
UAGCAAUAGCAGGAUGCCUGGUGCAA